GUGCUAGCUUCGGCAGCACAUAUACUAAAAUUGGAAUGCUACAGAGAAGCUUUUCAUGGCCCCUGUGCAAGGAUGACACACAAAUUCAUGAAGCAUUCCAUAUUUAA